ACGUCGGUCUAGUACAGGGAACAAGAAGAUUGUUAACGUUUUUGACCCUUUUUAAAGAAAAAUAGUAGUUAACGAACUGAGUAAAAUGGAAACAGGGUAUGUUAAGGCAAAUUCAACAAAUCUGCCAAAAAUUGAUGCGCUAAUGGUGUAUCAAUUUAUUAGAGAAGACGACCGCUUUAAUGCUGCCGAAAUGCGAGGAGUAAAAACAUCUGCGGCAUGUCGAGAAACAUAUGGAGAUUCAGCAAUAGGAUAUGUCUGCCUAAAACGAGAGAGUUCAAAGUGCACUGUGAAGGCAAGGAUUUGUCCGGAGCAUCGAGUAAGAAGUAAAAGUUACUCAGUAACUUUAAUCGUGGAUGAGGAAGAAGAGAAAGUGUUGAAUGCCAUGAUUGUACAGCGUCGUUAGGUGGUUGUAAACAUUCGGUAGCCUUUUUAAUGUGGAUCCACAGACGAACAGAAAAUCCAGCACCGACAGAGGUUGCUUGUUAUUGGAAAAAGGUUGUUUUAUCAACUAUUGGAGCAACUAAAAAAUACAUUGAAACUAAGGAGUUGUACAAAAAAGAAGUACAGAAUAUAGAAAAUUUUCCUGACAACGCAACAUUUCUGCAGGACAUUGUGAAAAUAGCCAAGGAGAAGCAACUUGACAGUCAGUUAUCGCAACAUCAUUUUGAACUGAAGGAACGCCGAUUAUACUCAUUGUCAAUGCAUCGACUGAUUGUUGAGUUUUCAGCAAGUGGAAUGAAAACUGCAGAUGAUUUUUUAAUAUUUUGUAUUUCCAAAAUGUCAAAAGAAUUAUGUUUUGAAGCGGAAAAUGCAACUAAAAUGCAAAGUAACAGCCAUUUAUGGUUCGAACUUCGCUACGGUAGAAUAACUGCAUCGAUAUUACAUGAAACUGCAAAUUGUAACACCGAAGAUGGAAGUCUUGUACAGCGGAUCACUGGCGCAUCCAAAGUAUAUGAUACAAAAGAAAUGGAAAGAGGGAAAUGUCUUGAGAAAGAAGUACUUAAAGAAGUUGAGAAAAUAGUAGGCCAAAAACUGAAAAAUUGUGGUCUUUUUUUAAUGCCAAAUUACCCGAUUUUGGGAGCUUCUCCGGAUGCUAUGGGUAAUGAUUUUAUUGUGGAAGUGAAGUGAAGUGUCCAAAUUCAGACAAAGCUAUUUCUCGAUUUCUAUCGAAAGGAAAAAUAGCUUCUAGGUGCAAAGCACAAAUAAAUCUUCAAAUGCUAGCUACAAAUACAAAAAAGGGUUUAUCUUGUGUUGCUGAUCCUGAUUUCGAAAAUAAUAGAAAAGUGAAAACGGUUUGGGUAGAUUAUAAUAAAGAUUAUACUACAGCUGUAACAGAACAAGCUAUCAAUUUCUGGAAAAAAAAUAUUUAUUGUAAAUUGAUGAAUUCUAUUUUAAGAUAAAAUAUGCAUUAAUAAAAAGUUUGUUAUGU